UGGGGAAUUUUGGACAAUGGGCGAAAGCCUGAUCCAGCAAUGCCGCGUGUGUGAAGAAGGCCUUCGGGUUGUAAAGCACUUUUGUCCGGAAAGAAAUCCUUGGCUCUAAUACAGUCGGGGGAUGACGGUACCGGAAGAAUAAGCACCGGCUAACUACGUGCCAGCAGCCGCGGUAAUACGUAGGGUGCAAGCGUUAAUCGGAAUUACUGGGCGUAAAGCGUGCGCAGGCGGUUCGCUAAGACCGAUGUGAAAUCCCCGGGCUCAACCUGGGAACUGCAUUGGUGACUGGCAGGCUAGAGUAUGGCAGAGGGGGGUAGAAUUCCACGUGUAGCAGUGAAAUGCGUAGAGAUGUGGAGGAAUACCGAUGGCGAAGGCAGCCCCCUGGGCCAAUACUGACGCUCAUGCACGAAAGCGUGGGGAGCAAAGCAGGAUUAGAUACCCUGGUAGUCCACGCCCUAAACGAUGUCAACUAGUUGUGGGGAUUCAUUUCCUUAGUAACGUAGCUAACGCGUGAAGUUGACCGCCUGGGGAGUACGGUCGCAAGAUU
rnacentral:rRNA from 1 species